rnacentral:tRNA from 1 species
CGCUAUAUCCGCAUGCUGGUUCAGAGCGUCCCGUCUCGUAAGAACGAGACGGGAAGGUCGUAGGUUCGAACCCUACAGCGUCCA